rnacentral:rRNA from 1 species
AGCGAACGCUGGCGGCAGGCCUAACACAUGCAAGUCGAACGCCCCGCAAGGGGAGUGGCAGACGGGUGAGGAACACGUGGGAACGUACCUUUUGGUUCGGAAUAACUCAGGGAAACUUGUGCUAAUACCGGAUAAGCCCUUCGGGGGAAAGAUUUAUUGCCAAAAGAUCGGCCCGCGUCUGAUUAGCUAGUUGGUGAGGUAACGGCUCACCAAGGCGACGAUCAGUAGCUGGUCUGAGAGGAUGAUCAGC